UACGGGGGGAGCAAGCGUUGUUCGGAUUUACUGGGCGUAAAGGGCUCGUAGGUGGCCAACUAAGUCAGACGUGAAAUCCCUCGGCUUAACCGGGGAACUGCGUCUGAUACUGGAUGGCUUGAGUUCGGGAGAGGGAUGCGGAAUUCCAGGUGUAGCGGUGAAAUGCGUAGAUAUCUGGAGGAACACCGGUGGCGAAGGCGGCAUCCUGGACCGACACUGACGCUGAGGAGCGAAAGCCAGGGGAGCAAACGGG
rnacentral:rRNA from 1 species